AACGUAGGUUCCGAGCGUUAUCCGGAUUUACCGGGCGUAAAGCGCGUUCAGGCGGUUUGGCAAGUCGGGCAUGAAAUCUCUCGGCUCAACCGGGAGAGGUUGUCCGAUACUUCCAGACUUGAGGGCAGUAGAGGGUGGUGGAAUUCCGGGUGUAGUGGUGAAAUGCGUAGAUAUCCGGAGGAACACCAGUGGCGAAAGCGGCCACCUGGACUGCACCUGACGCUGACACGCGAAAGCUAGGGGAGCGAACGGG
rnacentral:rRNA from 1 species